rnacentral:rRNA from 1 species
AUUGAACGCUGGCGGCAGGCCUAACACAUGCAAGUCGAGCGAGUGGCGGACGGGUGAGUAAUGUAUGGGGAACUGCCUGAUAGAGGGGGAUAACUACUGGAAACGGUAGCUAAUACCGCAUACUAUCGGAUGUGCCCAUAUGGGAUUAGCUAGUAGGUGGGGUAAAGGCUCACCUAGGCGACGAUCUCUAGCUGGUCUGAGAGGAUGACCAGCCACACUGGAACUGAGACACGGGCCAGAAUCCUACGGGAGGCAGCAGUGGGGAAUAUUGCACAAUGGGCGAAAGCCUGAUGCAGCCAUGCCGCGUGUAUGCAGAAGGCCUUAGGGUUGUAAAGUACUUUCAGCGGGGAGGCGUUACCCGCAGAAGAAGCACCGGCUAACUCCGUGCCAGCAGCCGCGGUAAUUC